AUUGAACGCUGGCGGCAUGCUUUACACAUGCAAGUCGAACGGUAACAGGCCGCAAGGCGCUGACGAGUGGCGCACGGGUGAGUAAUACACCGGAACAUGCCCAGACGUGGGGGAUAACUACUCGAAAGAGUAGCUAAUAUCGCACACGAUCUCUGGAUGAAAGCGGGGGACCUCAAGGCCUCGCGCGCUUUGAGCGGCCGAUGUCAGAUUAGGUAGUUGGUGGGGUAAAGGCUCACCAAGCCAACGAUCUGUAGCUGGUCUGAGAGGACAACCAGCCACACUGGGACUGAGACACGGCCCAGACUCCUACGGGAGGCAGCAGUGGGGAAUUUUGGACAAUGGGCGCAAGCCUGAUCCAGCAAUGCCGCGUGCAGGAAGAAGGCCUUCGGGUUGUAAACUGCUUUUGUACGGAACGAAACGGCUCUGGUUAAUACCCGGGGCUAAUGACGGUACCGUAAGAAUAAGCACCGGCUAACUACGUG
rnacentral:rRNA from 1 species